AAAGUGCAACUGUGUAAACC
rnacentral:miRNA from 1 species